CUCAACGGACGACACUUAGGUUUUGGCUGUGCAAAGCUGCUACAGACAGCAGCAUAUGUGAUGCCCGACUGGAUAUCUCGGCGGGUUAUGGUACGGCGGCUCGGUGUCGUGUGGAUCGUCUAGUCGGCGACCACCGCCCCUGUCGUCUCCGGCCCCCGUCGGGCGCAUUUUCUCCGCGGUGGUGCGCCGCGACCGGCUCUGGGUCGGCUUGGAAGAGUUUGGGGGUGAAGGUGGCCGGAGGCUCGACCGUCUCUGGCUUUACAGCACUCUCUGCUCCGACCUCGUCGCUUCCUGGGGCCGUGGACGCAGUACCUCGCUGUGCCUUCCUCCUCCCACCCGGGGGGGGACGGGGCCCCCUCGCCCCCGGCGUGACUGUCAACCGGGACGGACUGUCCUCAGUGCGUCUCAACCGCGUCGCGUCGUUCAGGGCGGGGACCGGCUCACGUACUAUUUGGGUCUCCCCAAAUAGUUUUCAUGCAGAUCCAUAUGACAUAUUUCACAAUUUAAGCAAAAAAAUCAAAAAAUUGUUCGUCACCACAUAUGCUGACGAGGAAGCGAAGGGUUUUGCCUUUACUCCGGCAUCUUGACUCCACCUGACAGCACAUUUGGUGAAGUCCUAAAAAUGAUGUUUAAAAAUGGAAAACGACAUCAGGGGUUGUGAGGCUGAGUUACUAACAUCUCCCCAAAGAGUUUUCAUGCAUGAUAUGAUA
rnacentral:lncRNA from 1 species